UACGAAGGGGGCUAGCGUUGCUCGGAAUCACUGGGCGUAAAGCGCACGUAGGCGGCUUUCUAAGUCAGGGGUGAAAUCCUGGAGCUCAACUCCAGAACUGCCUUUGAUACUGGAGAGCUUGAGUCCGGGAGAGGUGAGUGGAAUUCCUGGUGUAGCGGUGAAAUGCGCAGAUAUCAGGAGGAACACCAAUGGCGAAGGCAGCUCGCUGGGACGGUACUGACGCUGAGACGCGAAAGCGUGGGGAGCAAACAGG
rnacentral:rRNA from 1 species